UUGGAUUUAUUUGUUUAUUUCAGUGUGGAUUUUACCUUCUUCGUGAGUUAAAGAAAGGUGUUACAUUCUUCUUGAAACUGUGGCUUUUACCUUCUUCGUGAGUUAAGGAAAGGUGUUACAUUCUUCGUGAAACGGAAACCAGUAUCACCUUAUACAACGCGCUAUGUUCUGGUAUAUAUACAUUUGUCAAAGGCACCAGAGAGAUGAGACAUUGUUUAAGAGGUGAUAGAGCUUAAUGGUUGUUUCAUGGAUGGAAGGAUUUCUUUAUGAUCAGACUGGGUACUUAAUUUGUCGGUAUUUCUGCCAAACCGCUAACAUACAGUGAGGUAAACGAACCGAAAGCAGUUGUCAAGCAGUGGUGUUAGGCAAACACAGUCACGAACUGGAUCUCGACUGAAGAGAGAAAACUCCGAAUGACCUGUCCCUGUUUUCUUUGUAUCGUCUAUCUCAAUGUUUUGUCCCUUUCUUGUAUCACCUAACUGAAAGAAUUUAAUAAAAUGAUUUUAAAAUUAUAUUUAAAAAAAAAUAUAGAA